AACAAGUUACUUGCUGCAGGGAUAAAUAGUGCUGAAAGUAGUAAUAGGCUAUACUCUUCUGAAAGCACAGAUGAGAGGAAGCAUAGCAUUGGUUUUUUCAAUGCAGAUAUCAGCCCAGAGAUUGAAGGCUGCUUGUAGGAAGGCAUACACUACUUAGCUGCAGGAAAGUAGUGUUCAAUCAAGCCAUAUUCUGUUACACAGAGAUUUGUUUCUAUCCUUGGGUAAGGCACGCUGGGGUAGUCCUUCUUGUGUGCAGCAGCAAAACUUCAGGACCCUUCUGGAGAAAAUGUGCAGCCCACAGCUGGAUAAACACAUCAUAUGGUGGGUGAGCAGCUGCUCAUGGGUCAGGCACAAAGGGCAACAGCAAAUGGGGUGACAUCAGACUGGUGUGACCUGUCACUAGUGGGGUUCCAUAGGGCUCCAUCCUUAGCCCUGUGCUCUUCAACAUCUUCAUAAAACAUCUGGACACAGGACUGGAAGGUAUACUAAGCAAGUUCUCAGAUGAUACAGAACUGAGAGAAGCUGUUGACUCCCUUGAAGGCAAGGAGGCCCUGCAGAGAGACCUUCACAAAUCAAGAGCUCCAGCAUGGAAACCUUCAAGGAGAUAGCAGAACUUUCCUUCUGAACUAUGGCAUCUUCAAGAAGGAUUCACACCCUUAUCACUUGCUUCCCGCUCCAGCAGGAUGGAGAUGAGAAUUGGAAGUAAAAAAGGUGAAGAUCACAGGUUGAGAAGGAAAGUCAGCUGUGCCUGUGGAAGACCACAGCCCAUACUGCAGACAGGCAGAGGGACACGGCAGCAAGACAAGCAUUUUGAAAGAACAGGAAAAUAAACAAGGGGAUAAGCUGUUGCUGAACUGAGUUGCAUGGGGAGAAGAGAACAUUUAGUGUUGUCACAAUUUGAGAAGACUCUUGUCUAUUGUUUGGUUUAUGGAUUUAUGGAUUUCCACCUCCAGCAAAAUUAACAAGAAAACUUUUUUUUUUUUUUUGUGCCAUUGCAAUAUAUGCCUCAACCUGAAGAGCACUUUUGGAAGACUGUGGUCUACCAUGGUAUCAUAUUCACAUUUGGACUUGAAAUGAGCAGGAGUUUCCAUUUUUGCCUGCUCUACAUCAGUCCCUUUGAAAAGUGAUAAGCAGGUCCAAAGUGCUGCAAAACUUCAAAACCAGAACAGAUACUUUGGAAACUGCACUUCUAUAACUACACUUCUGCAUUCUUACAGUGAUAUCAGUACACAGGAAAGGUGGGGAUAAGUUUAGAUUCUCAAAAAUGAGCCUUUGUUUUGUGGCAGCUAUCAAAACAGAAUGUGUGCUUGCUUCUCUAUUGAAAAAGAAUAAAAUACUAGCAUGUUGUCUCUUUCAGCAGUGUAAAAUAUUACAUUUGAAAAUGAAUUUGCUUUUCAUUUUGCUAUGGGAAAGGAAAACACAACAUGCUAAGGAGAAAUGGCUCUCGAUGUUGCAUUUUCUUCUGUAAUCCUUUAGAGUAACAGCCUGUGCAUCAUGGACCAAGCAAAUAAGAUGUCUUUGCCAAGGCAAGCAAAAAUACUUGGAUUGGAGCUCCAAAAAUUGACAAUUUUUUGAACCUGACACUUCUAGGAUUCAUGUCCAGUGGAUUAUUUUUAGAGGGGAUAUGGAAGUACACAUGGAUGAGACUGCUGAUUGCUCUGCAAGGGACCUCACUCGAGACGCACCGCUCCAAGCAAUCGAAACUCUCAAGUGUCAACACUUUCCAAGGUGCCCGGGAUGCUAACCCGGGAGGGUUCCACUCCUCAGUGCUGGUGAAAAUAUGCAAUGGUCUUGGCUGAGCUUUCUCUCCCAGCUCAGGGGCAGCAGGAGUCGCCUAAGGGUUUGAGAUGAAGCCACCAGAGGGAGAUCUAAGGCUGCACACAUUUGAGCUGUGCCAUCUGCUAUCUGCUGAUAACGCCCUCAUCACCAUCUGUGCUGCCAUGUCAAAGCUGAGGCAAACGAAUUAUUGUGGCAAACAACAGCACCAUUAGGCCACCAACACUUGCCAAAGAUGAACAUCACUAGUUUAACGUUGCCUCUGGCAUAGCCAAUGCAUGUAAUCCCAGGGACAAAAAAAAAACAACGAGAAAACCCAAAACCAACACAACCCAAACCAAACAAACCCAAACCAAAUACCACCCAACAAAACAGCCCUCAAACAGAAUUCUUGUUGUUGUUUUUGCAGAUCCAUGCAGCCUGUUGGAGAAGUUUACAAAUGCAGCUCUGUGCUGAGCAUGCAUAAUUUGUUUUAUACCUGUUACUGCCCUACUUGCUUCAAACUGAGAUCCCAGAAAACAUUAAGUUUCUGCAAAUAUUUUGGCAUGGGCCUUUGGAAUAAUUCUAAUGAAGCUCAGCCUUCUGGGUGUUUUUCUUAGAGCGUAUUGCAGGGAAUUCAUGUUUUGAAAAAAUUCCAUGGAACAUUCCAAAGUCAAUUCUACAUUCAAAAUAAUCCUCCAAAAGCAAGAAUACAGACUACAACAAAAACAUUUAGUAAACUUCUCAUAAGAAGCUGAUUCAGACAAACUCUUAGUUAGAUUUUUGUUCUCUAGGGAUAUUCUUUGUCUUUUUAUUCUUUGUAUCUGUCUUUUUCUUUUUUAUGUCAUUCCUAGACCAUUCCCAAUCAUAGUGUAAAAUGAGAAGCCUAAAUAUAGUAAUAAAGUAAUAAAUUAUAAAGUACAAUAGGUUAUAGGAAUAAAGUAAUAAAUAAAUAAUAAAUAUAGUAGCAAUGAAGUUAUAAGUAAUAAAGUAAUAAAGUAAAUGCAGUUGCUUGUAAAAACUCAAGCUACAAUUGUCAGUAAAAACUUGUACAUUUCUGCUCUGGACCAGAAUGAAAAAAUCCCCCAAAAUUAUGACAAAUUUUAUGUGAAAAAAUGUUGAACUAUUUUGACAAUUAUCAUUUCAGCAAUUUAAAAUCUAAGUCUUUUCAGGCUGCAUCAGCAACAAAUUGUACUCCUGAUGCCUUUUCCAUUGUUGUCUCGUCUGAAAAGCCAUUGGACUGAUGUCAUUCUGUUGCCAGAGUACGAAAAGCAGAAUCCAUGUGUUUCUUGAUUCACCACUGUAGCACUAGGUCUUGGAGGGCUUGAAAUUGUGUGAAUACUUAGAUUUCUCUAGGGAAAACUGGCUGAUUCUCCUUUUUUCUCUUGGCUAUUAUGCAAACACGGGUGCACACACACAUGGGCUCUCACACACACACACACACAUAUAUAUGCUUUUACCUACAUGCACAAUACAUUUUGUGUUCCCACCUAAAAUAGUGAAAGCAUGGCACAUGUUUGUUGCACUCUGGACACUGUCUCUUAUAACCUAAGGAAGCCUCUGCUUUUGUUCGAGGUUUUGCUGUAAUUAAUAACUGAUGUGGCCACUUCGCUCUCAUGAAAGAUCUGAGGAAAAAAAAAACCAAAAAACCCUGUAGUUCUGUGCCUCAGAUAUUUUUGCAUCCCAAAAAUGCUUGAUGUUAACCACAUAUAGUUGAAAUUAAAUUUUUUUUUUUUUUUUGGUCGGUGUGAAGAAAGGUUGAUGGUCCUACACUUUGUAAGUGUGAUGAAGGUAGUGAUGAGUACAUAGUGGUUAAUGAAAGAGACAAAUGAUUAAGACCUUACGGACUUUAGUCUUCUUUAGGGCUGCUGAUGGGAGAAUGGAAAAAUUUCAGCCUGAAGGAUGCUGAAUGGGGUGAUAGUUCAGUGCUCCCAGAUACUGAGCAUCUCUAAGGAACAGCGUAUUUCCCCCUCCACUGAAAGCAGCUGUCCAUAAGGACUAGGCAGUUUUUUGAGUCAGUAGACAGCAUGGCGAGAAUUCCCACUGCUGCUGCUGCUGCAUCCUAAGCUUUGUCACCAAGUGCAAACUUACAGAGAGACGCAAGACAGCACCUGCUCAACUUCUGCUGUUUCUGUUUUGCCCCUACAUGAGCUGUCCGUAGAUCCUACAAAAGGGCAGAAGGAAUGGAAGUCAAGUCCUGCAAUCUACCAGUGCUGACACAGCUUGUUGUGAGGGUGAUUGGACAAUCUUUGGUCAUGGCUGGCAUGUAUUACAGAGAACUGCUAGUAAAAUACAGACAUUCCUCUGUGUAGCAGGCCUGAAACUUAGAAAUGGAAGUAAAACAGUUGUUUGAUGCACGUCGUUGUCUGGAGUUUGUCUGAGCUAUGCUGUCAGCACACACUUACAUGAGUUACACGGCAUUUUGAAGUUUCAGAGUUGUUCUAAGCAUAAAUCUGUUUAAUUAUGCAGAAGCCUUGUCAGCUCUUCAUAAAACCCUUAAGAUGCAAUAAGCUUUGUCAGGAUCUGCUUCUUGUUAUCUGCUCACCAUUGCUGAUCAAACAAAAGGCUUGCUGAGUUGAACCACUAGAGCUGGCACAAAAGCUGUGGCUUCCUUGUCAACAAGCAGUGCCACAGAAAGGGACCUGGGGGGUCCUGCUUGAUGGCAAGUUGAUCAUGAGCCAGCAGUGUCCUAUCAGCCAGGAGGACCAGCUCUGUCCUGGGGUGCAUCAGGCACAGCAUCACCAGCUGGGCAAGAGAAGGGAUUGUCCUGCUCUGCUCUGAAAUGGGGAGGCUUCACCUCAAGCGCCGGGGGCAGUUUUGGGUGCCACAAUAUAAGGAAGACAUUCAACUCUUAGAGAUCAUCCAAAGGAGAGCAAAAAGAUGGUGAUGCACCUUGAGGGGAAGCUGUGUGAGGAGUGGCUGAGGUCCCUGGGUUUGUUCAGCCUGGAGGAGCCUGAGGGGAGACCCCAUUGCAGUUACAAAUUCCUUUUGAGGGGAAGAGGUGGGGCAGAUACUGAUCUCUUAUCUCCUGCACCCAGUGACAAGACCUGAGGGAAUAGCCUGAAGUUGUGUCAUGGGAGGUUUAGGUUGGAUAUUAGAAAAAGGUUCUUCUAUUUGAACAAGCUCCCCAGGUUAGUGAUCACAGCACCAAGCCUGGCAGAGAUCAAGAAGCAUUUGGACAAUGCUCUCAGGCACACGGUGUAACUCCUGGAGAUGGUUCUGUGCAUGGCCAGGAGCUGGACUCGAUGGCCCUCAUAGGCUCCUUCCAACUCAGCUUAUGCUGUGAUUUUAUGAACCAGAGAUGAAAUAUGCAUGUACUGAAGCCUUGGAAGUUGUACUGAGUAUUUGCUUCAAUUUUGCUGUCUGUGUGAAGGUAUGUGGGGAUUUCAAUAAAAGCCACAGGAAGAACCAUUUACAUGAUCCAUGCUUCUUGCUAUACAGAUGUGAUGCAACCAUUCUUUCUGGUUGCUCUUGUUAACUAUGCCUGCAAAAAUCAAAUGUAGCCUUGUUUUUCGGUUAGUUUUGUUUUUUUUUUUUUUUUUUUUUAAUUCCAGAAUAAAACCCUGAGUGAGGAAGAUGCUUAAGCACAUGCUAAAGUACAGGCUGCAGUGCUUUGAAAAUUUGUAGGUAUAAGGACAUGUUUAACAAUCAACACAUACUGAAGAGCUUUCCUAAACUGAGACUUUUCCCUGGAAUAGUAAUUACUUAGAUAGCAACUGUUAACACAAGCAUAGUGAUGAAUUUAAUUGAAUUAGUGAACUCAACUGGAAUUAAGGAGAGAAAUUGCUUUUCAUUUUAUGUUUAAAAUGUGGAUAUUUGUAAAAGGAAAGAAAAGCAGCAUUUUCUUAUACAAAGGGGUCACUUCCUGCUGUUGUUAAAUAUUUUGAAAUGUAAACAUUAGUUCUCUUAUUAAAAUGACAGGGUGAGACGUGGGAAUUUCAAGAAAACUAGAUAUUAAAAUCAAGGCAUCUGAUCACAUAAUAAAGAUGAAUUUAGGCCAGUGGUCAGUUAGGAUGGUCUGCUUGCUAGGGGAGAAAUUAAAUGAUACAAAGGGAAGCUUUCAAUGCAUCACUUUUCAGAAAGCCAAAAAUUAUCAGCAAGCUGUACUGUCUAGAAAUAUCUGAGUUCCAAUCACAGAUUUCAGAGCAAAUCAGGCCUCUUUGUUAGGCACUGCUCAAAUUAGGGAUGCAUUGAAGUAAUCAGUAUUCUCUUCAAUACUUUUUUUUGAAAAUUGUUCUUUGUUUUUUUUCCCUUCAUUUUCAUUGCUGAGGACUUAUUCAGGAGCCUGACACUGAAGUGUAUUUACUGAGGAAGAGGCAGGAGAUUUCUUCUUGUACUGUGAGUUCAGAUACCCGUAUACCUGAUUGUAAUAUGCCACUGGUCAAAGCUGUCCACCUGCACUGUAGAUUUUCAAUUAGACUUCAAAUACAGUAAAAACUGAUAAGUGAGCAUGGAAAAGCUAUGCACUGGAUAAUUGGCCUAAAACAUGCUUGGAAAAUUGGCAAGAGCUCAGGGUCCAAGUGUUUUGAAAAGCAAUACAAAGUCUAGCACGGUACUGGUUACUAGUCAUGUCCCUCUGAAAUACUGGCACUGUGGCCAAAAGUGCUUAAUGUCUUUACUAAUGAUUUGUAUGAUGGAUCAGAAUGUGUUCCCAGCAAGUUUGCAGAUGCUCCUAGACCGAGGGAAAUGUCAGAUACACUGGAGCAGAGUGAUGGUCUUUAGAGGGACCUUGACAAGCCAGAGAAAUGGGCUGAUGAGAACCUCCUGGAGCUAGGCAUCAGCAAAUGUCAGGUUUAGUUUGUGUUCCCCAGUGCAUCUCAAGACAGACAUUGAAACUAUGCAGCAAGUUUGGUGGAAGCCACAGACGCAGAGGAGGCUGGAGGAUGGCACAGGACAGGAGGGGCAGCAAGAAGUGGCUUUUUCAGCUUGGGAGUGAAAGGGAGUUUAUCUGGCUGUCAUCAGGUCCUUUGCGGCAGAGCACUGAAAUAAUAGACUCGUCUCAGGGAUGCACCAAAGGCAAAAGACUGUCAUUGCAAUAUAGAGCUCUCACAGAAGAUCAGAAGAUACCCAUCUUUCCUGGGAAGGUUUUCAGUGUCUAGGCAGGUGAAACGUAAACUUUAAGGCAUUUAGAGAUUUUGAGGAGCUAAGAUUUUAGUUAGAAAUAAGCCUUACUAGAGUUAAUUAAAAUAAUAAUAAUAAAUGAGUAGGCCUUGAUGAAGUUAGGAGUUAGUAGUUAACUAAUAAUUGAUUGCUUGUCAGCACAAUGUUUAGUUAGCUGGGUUUAUAAUGAAGAACAUAGAAACUGACAAAUAGCUUUUAGGAACAUAAGACAAUUGUGGGCCUCCUCUGUUGUGAAACCAAUUGAAGACAAGGAAUGGGAGUUCUACCAAGAGUUCAUUUGUCAUACUUGCAUUGAAAAGGUAGAAAGGUCAGAACGAGGAAGACUUCAUUUACUUCCUCAUUUUGGGACCCCUCCCCAUGAAAGGGACCACCGACCCAUUUCAAGGGACAAACCACGCAUGCUUAAUAGCUUUUGGAGUGAUUAGCAUACGAAGCGGGGAAUGGGAUGUACUAAAAUGAUGAAUAUGUAUUUGUAUUUUGUGUAUUCAAUACUUGUAUGGAUAAAAAGACUCUGUAAUCACCUGGAAUGUGCGGUGUGUAUUUGGGAGCUAUCCCGCACGCUGCCCGGCGUCGAAUAAACAUACACUUUC
ensembl:lncRNA